UGAGUAAUGUCUGGGAAACUGCCUGAUGGAGGGGGAUAACUACUGGAAACGGUAGCUAAUACCGCAUAACGUCGCAAGACCAAAGAGGGGGACCUUCGGGCCUCUUGCCAUCGGAUGUGCCCAGAUGGGAUUAGCUAGUAGGUGGGGUAACGGCUCACCUAGGCGACGAUCCCUAGCUGGUCUGAGAGGAUGACCAGCCACACUGGAACUGAGACACGGUCCAGACUCCUACGGGAGGCAGCAGUGGGGAAUAUUGCACAAUGGGCGCAAGCCUGAUGCAGCCAUGCCGCGUGUAUGAAGAAGGCCUUCGGGUUGUAAAGUACUUUCAGCGGGGAGGAAGGGAGUAAAGUUAAUACCUUUGCUCAUUGACGUUACCCGCAGAAGAAGCACCGGCUAACUCCGUGCCAGCAGCCGCGGUAAUACGGAGGGUGCAAGCGUUAAUCGGAAUU
rnacentral:rRNA from 1 species